rnacentral:rRNA from 1 species
CCUACGUGAGGCAGCAGUAGGGAAUCUUCCACAAUGGGCGAAAGCCUGAUGGAGCAACGCCGCGUGGGUGAAGAAGGUCUUCGGAUCGUAAAACCCUGUUGUUAGAGAAGAAAGUGCGUGAGAGUAACUGUUCACGUUUCGACGGUAUCUAACCAGAAAGCCACGGCUAACUACGUGCCAGCAGCCGCGGUAAUACGUAGGUGGCAAGCGUUAUCCGGAUUUAUUGGGCGUAAAGGGAACGCAGGCGGUCUUUUAAGUCUGAUGUGAAAGCCUUCGGCUUAACCGGAGUAGUGCAUUGGUUACUGGGAGACUUGAGUGCAGAAGAGGAGAGUGGAACUCCAUGUGUAGCGGUGAAAUGCGUAGAUAUAUGGAAGAACACCAGUGGCGAAAGCGGCUCUCUGGUCUGUAACUGACGCUGAGGUUCGAAAGCGUGGGUAGCAAACAGGAUUAGAUACCCUUGUAGUC